ACAUGUAUACACGGAAAAACAUAAAAUAAAAAAUAUUUGGAAGAUUUAUGACGUUGAUGACCGUUGAAACGCACGUCAUCACGUCAGGCCAGCUGUGAGGGAGGAAAGUCGAAGCAGCUCGAGAAAGUUGGCGCUUUUAUCAGAUCGUUUGUUUGGAGUCUCUGUUUGUUCCAACCAUUGUGUUCCUUCAUGCUCCUCCAGAGACUACUAUCCGGAUUGUCCGUGCCAGUGUUGUGACUCUUGCAUCUUUCACUGUGUGAUGUUGUCCGGGGCCCGAGGGUGGCAAUUGCAUCAGAGGGAGAAGACUUCACAGUGCCUCCCUAUACAUGGAUGUCAGCUGACGUCAAUCACUUGUCUUCUGCCAUUUUGAGGACCUGAAGUGGUCGCAAAAGAACUAGAAGCUAUCCCUUCAAUAUGCUGUGAGCAUCAAAAUCGCUAUUUUAACAACACUAAGAAGGCUCAACACAACAUGAUAUUUUGCUCGAAGUAUCGCCUAUGUCUCUACACGUGAACUCGAGCAUUGAGAACAUUGUUUGUGAACACAGAGUUAACUAAAAAGAAGGUUUUGAACAACUCACUUUGGAUGAUUUGGCGUCCGCUCGCCGCUUUCUUCUCAGUCAAGAUGUAUCGAUCUCCAAUUGCGACGUAAGGAGGGAGGAGAGUAAAGAUGAUAUCUCCUAAAGCAUAGUUCCUUAAAAAUGCACGGAUAAGUCGUUGUUUUGUUGCAAGUGAAAAACAAUAUUGACCUUCUAGUUGAAAAAGGAGCCUUAUAUGAGAUUCAUUCAUUCGCAUUCGGAAAUCGAUUAUUUACGUCUGGCAGAGAUGACGAGCGGACACCAUAACAGCCAAAGUCAGUUGUACAAAACCUUUCUUUUUAGUAAACUCUGUGUACAAAAACAAUGUUCUCAAU